CUUAACACUGUCCUGUAGCUCAGCAACUCCAAAUUAGCACAGCUCCACACAUCCAAAGCCUGGAAAGGGUGGAAGAUGAAUAUGAACGGACAGAUCCCUCAUGCUCACCCUUGGUGGUGAAUUGAGUCAUCAGCUGAGUAUGGAAAGGAGUGGGGAACAAGCUCACAGGCUCUUUGUCUCCUUCGACUUUUGUUUCACAUUUGCCAGGAGGUGAACAAAAGUGCCUGCCUGCCAGCUCUGGAGAGAGCAGCAGAUCUCCCAGCACAGAGGACUGGUCAAAGAACUACCGAAGAAAACAUUCCUUUGGGGCCACCAGUGAAUGAAAAUGAUUAGCUUUCCUUGUUGCCUGUGCUCAGCACAGCAUGAAGAGAGGAAGCAUGGUCUAGCUGGGUACCAAGGAUGUUGCAAGAGAUCCGGGGCCACAGAGUAGGAGCCGGAGAAAACCCAGAGAAGCUGCUGACAACCAUGCCAGUCCCCUGCCCACUCUGCCUCUUGCCUAGGUCUGACAAAACUGGAGAAAUUAAAUUCUUUUUCAGCUUUCAUUUUCUUCAUCCCCACAACAGACACCAGUGUGGUAAGCACAAAGUCAGCAGGUCUGACUUACAAGAGGCUGAACACCCUGUUUUACAAAUGUUUGUGAAACCAAAAUAACUCAUCUUUAGUGGCCAAAUUUUAACAAUUAUAAACAGCUUUCUACUUUUAGAGUCACUGGCAAAAUUUUUGUUUUUCAGGUUCCACUAUUGAGAAACAUUUUUCCAAAAAUACAAACAAUAUAUGUGUGUUAUAGGAAAUACAAAUACGCACAAAGAAGAAAUUAAUUCACCCAUAAUCUCAUUCCCCAAUGAAAACCACUAAUAUAACAUGUUAUGGUCUUUACAUAUAGACAUUCAUUUUUUCUUAUUUUUUGGAAUCAUAUACUUUAUACUACUUGCAAUUAUUUUUUUCUGACCUGUAUUUUGUGUCUACAUUAAUAAGACAAUGAAUAUAAUUUUACAUCCUUUUUAUUACAUAAUAUUUUCCUAUUG
rnacentral:lncRNA from 1 species